rnacentral:rRNA from 1 species
AGUGAACGCUGGCGGUAGGCCUAACACAUGCAAGUCGAACGGCAGCACAGUAAGAGCUUGCUCUUACGUGUGGCGAGUGGCGGACGGGUGGGGAAUACAUCGGAAUCUACUUUUUCGUGGGGGAUAACGUAGGGACACUUACGCUAAUACCGCAUACGACCUACGGGUGAAAGCAGGGGAUCUUCGGACCUUGCGCGAUUGAAAGAGCCGAUGUCGGAUUAGCUAGUUGGCGGGGUAAAGGCCCACCAAGGCGACGAUCCGUAGCUGGUCUGAGAGGAUGAUCAGCCACACUGGAACUGAGACACGGUCCAGACUCCUACGGGAGGCAGCAGUGGGGAAGAUUGGAAAAUGGGCGCAAGACUGAUCCAGCCAGACCGCGUGGGUGAAGAAGGCCUGCGGGUUGUAAAGCCCUGUUGUUGGGAAAGAAAAGCAGCAGGUUAAUACCCCGCUGUUCUGACGGUACACAAAGAAUAAGCACCGGAUAACUUCGUG